rnacentral:rRNA from 1 species
CCUACGGGAGGCAGCAGUGAGGAAUAUUGGUCAAUGGACGAGAGUCUGAACCAGCCAAGUAGCGUGAAGGAUGACUGCCCUAUGGGUUGUAAACUUCUUUUGUAUGGGAAUAAAAUGUUCCACGUGUGGGCUUUUGUAUGUACCCUAUGAAUAAGGAUCGGCUAACUUCGUGCCAGCAGCCGCGGUAAUUCGGAGGAUCCGAGCGUUAUCCGGUUUUAUUGGGUUUAAAGGGAGCUUAGGUGGAUUGUUAAGUCAGUUGUGAAAGUUUGCGGCCCAACCGUAAAAUUGCAGUUGAAACUGGCAGUCUUGAGUACAGUAGAGGUGGGCGGAAUGCGUGGUGUAGCGGUGAAAUGCUUAGAUAUCACGAAGAACUCCGAUUGCGAAGGCAGUACACUGGACUGCAACUGACACUGAGGCUCGAAAGUGUGGGUAUCAAACAGGAUUAGAUACCCGAGUAGUC